rnacentral:rRNA from 1 species
GAGCUUGCUCCCUGAUGUUAGCGGCGGACGGGUGAGUAACACGUGGGUAACCUGCCUGUAAGACUGGGAUAACUCCGGGAAACCGGGGCUAAUACCGGAUGCUUGUUUGAACCGCAUGGUUCAAACAUAAAAGGUGGCUUCGGCUACCACUUACAGAUGGACCCGCGGCGCAUUAGCUAGUUGGUGAGGUAAUGGCUCACCAAGGCAACGAUGCGUAGCCGACCUGAGAGGGUGAUCGGCCACACUGGGACUGAGACACGGCCCAGACUCCUACGGGAGGCAGCAGUAGGGAAUCUUCCGCAAUGGACGAAAGUCUGACGGAGCAACGCCGCGUGAGUGAUGAAGGUUUUCGGAUCGUAAAGCUCUGUUGUUAGGGAAGAACAAGUACCGUUCGAAUAGGGCGGUACCUUGACGGUACCUAACCAGAAAGCCACGGCUAACUACGUGCCAGCAGCCGCGGUAAUACGUAGGUGGCAAGCGUUGUCCGGAAUUAUUGGGCGUAAAGGGCUCGCAGGCGGUUUCUUAAGUCUGAUGUGAAAGCCCCCGGCUCAACCGGGGAGGGUCAUUGGAAACUGGGGAACUUGAGUGCAGAAGAGGAGAGUGGAAUUCCACGUGUAGCGGUGAAAUGCGUAGAGAUGUGGAGGAACACCAGUGGCGAAGGCGACUCUCUGGUCUGUAACUGACGCUGAGGAGCGAAAGCGUGGGGAGCGAACAGGAUUAGAUACCCUGGUAGUCCACGCCGUAAACGAUGAGUGCUAAGUGUUAGGGGGUUUCCGCCCCUUAGUGCUGCAGCU